rnacentral:rRNA from 1 species
CAAGUCGAGCGGAUACAUCCGGUAGCAAUAUCGGGUGUGUUUAGCGGCGCAAGGGUGCGUAACACGUGGGUAAUUUGCCGUAAAGCUGGGGAUAACUCCGGGAAACCGGAGCUAAUACCGAAUGUGGAUUUAGGAGGCAUCUCCUGAUCUCUAAAGCUGGGGACCCGUAAGGGCCUGGCACUUUACGAUAAGCCCGCGGCCUAUCAGCUUGUUGGCGAGGUAACGGCUCACCAAGGCUAAGACGGGUAGCUGGUCUGAGAGGACGACCAGCCACACUGGAACUGAGACACGGUCCAGACACCUACGGGUGGCAGCAGUCGAGAAUUUUUCACAAUGGGCGCAAGCCUGAUGGAGCGACGCCGCGUGGGGGAUGAAGGGCUUCGGCUCGUAAACCCCUGUCAGUCGCGAACAACGUGUACCGGUGAAUAUCCGGUGCAUUGAUAGUAGCGACAGAGGAAGGGACGGCUAACUCUGUGCCAGCAGCCGCGGUAAUACAGAGGUCCCGAGCGUUGUUCGGAUUCACUGGGCGUAAAGGGUGCGUAGGUGGCUUUGCAAGUCUGAUGUGAAAUCUCCGGGCUUAACCCGGAAAUGGCAUUAGAAACUGUGAGGCUUGAGGCUUGGAGGGGGAACUGGAAUUCUCGGUGUAGCAGUGAAAUGCGUAGAGAUCGAGAGGAACACCAGUGGCGAAGGCGAGUUCCUGGACAAGUCCUGACACUGAGGCACGAAAGCCGGGGGAGCAAACAGGAUUAGAUACCCUGGUAGUCCCGGCUGUAAACGGUGCACGUUUGCUGUGAGCGGAAUCGACCCCGUUCGUGGCGAAGCUAACGCGUUAAACGUGCCGCCUGGGGGAGUACGGUCGCAAGAUUAAAACUCAAGAAAUUGACGGGGGCUGCACAAGCGGUGGAGUAUGUGGCUUAAUUCGAUGCAAC